GACGAACGCUGGCGGCGUGCUUAACACAUGCAAGUCGAACGGAAAGGCCCUGCUUUUGUGGGGUGCUCGAGUGGCGAACGGGUGAGUAACACGUGAGUAACCUGCCCUUGACUUUGGGAUAACUUCAGGAAACUGGGGCUAAUACCGGAUAGGAGCUCCUGCUGCAUGGUGGGGGUUGGAAAGUUUCGGCGGUUGGGGAUGGACUCGCGGCUUAUCAGCUUGUUGGUGGGGUAGUGGCUUACCAAGGCUUUGACGGGUAGCCGGCCUGAGAGGGUGACCGGCCACAUUGGGACUGAGAUACGGCCCAGACUCCUACGGGAGGCAGCAGUGGGGAAUAUUGCACAAUGGGCGGAAGCCUUAUGCAGCAACGCCGCGUGCGGGAUGACGGCCUUCGGGUUGUAAACCGCUUUCGCCGGUGACGAAGCGUGAGUGACGGUAAUGUGUAAAGAAGCACCGGCUAACUACGUG
rnacentral:rRNA from 1 species